UACGUAGGGGGCUAGCGUUGUCCGGAUUUAUUGGGCGUAAAGAGCGUGUAGGCGGCCAGGUAGGUCUGCUGUGAAAACUCGAGGCUUAACCUCGAGAUGUCGGCGGAAACCAUCUGGCUAGAGUCCGGAAGAGGAGAAUGGAAUUCCCGGUGUAGCGGUGAAAUGCGCAGAUAUCGGGAAGAACACCCGUGGCGAAGGCGGCUCUCUGGGACGGUACUGACGCUGAGACGCGAAAGCGUGGGGAGCGAACAGG
rnacentral:rRNA from 1 species